rnacentral:rRNA from 1 species
UACGUAGGUGGCAAGCGUUGUCCGGAUUUACUGGGCGUAAAGAGCGCGCAGGCGGUUGUUUAAGUCGAAUGUGAAAGCCCCCGGCUCAACUGGGGAGGGUCAUUCGAUACUGAUCGACUUGAAGGCAGGAGAGGGAAAUGGAAUUCCGGGUGUAGUGGUGAAAUGCGUAGAUAUCAGGAGGAACACCGGUGGUGUAGACGCUUUCUGGACCGUAACUGACGCUGAGACACGAAAGCGUGGGUAGCAAACAGG